rnacentral:rRNA from 1 species
GUAGCCGAACACUAGUGGCGCACGGGUGCGUAACGCGUAACCAACCUACCUGGAUCUGGGGGAUAGCCCGCCGAAAGGCGGAUUAAUACCGCAUAAGCCGUGUGAGUGGCAUCACUUGGACGGUAAAGAUUUAUUGGAUUCAGAUGGGGUUGCGUAGCAUUAGCUAGAUGGCGGGGUAACGGCCCACCAUGGCGACGAUGCUUAGGGGACCUGAGAGGGUGAUCCCCCACACUGGCACUGAGAUACGGGCCAGACUCCUACGGGAGGCAGCAGUAGGGAAUAUUGGGCAAUGGGCGAGAGCCUGACCCANCCAUGCCGCGUGCCGGAUGAAGGCCUUCUGGGUUGUAAACGGCUUUUCUCAGGNAANAAAAAGAGGAUGCGUCCUAAACUGACGGUACCUGAGGAAUAAGCACCG